GUGUCAGCAGCCGCGGUAAUACGGAGGGUCCGAGCGUUAAUCGGAAUUACUGGGCGUAAAGCGCGCGUAGGUGGUUCAGUCAGUCAGAUGUGAAAGCCCCGGGCUCAACCUGGGAACUGCACCUGAUACUGCUGAGCUAGAGUACGGUAGAGGGCAGUGGAAUUUCCGGUGUAGCGGUGAAAUGCGUAGAGAUCGGAAGGAACACCAGUGGCGAAGGCGACUGCCUGGACCGAUACUGACACUGAGGUGCGAAAGCGUGGGUAGCAAACAGGAUUAGAUACCCUGGUAGUCCACGCCGUAAACGAUGUCAACUAGCCGUUGGAGGACUUGAUCCUUUAGUGGCGCAGCCAACGCGAUAAGUUGACCGCCUGGGGAGUACGGCCGCAAGGUUAAA
rnacentral:rRNA from 1 species